UCUUCCAUAGUAUAGUGGUCAGUAUGUGAGCUUGUCACGCAACAACGCUCGAGACCCGGGUUCAAUUCCCGGUGGGAGAG
rnacentral:tRNA from 1 species